AGUCUGCACCGAUAGCCCCUAUGAGUAUCGCUUUAGGUAAUCCUUCUUUUAUCUUAUAGAUGAGGUGACUGAAAUUAGACGAGCAGGAGGGGGGACUGGUGUACAAGAGGAGGAUGAACAAACCCUGAAAUAAAUAACAGAAAAGCUAUUUAAUAAGAAGCAACAUAUGUAAAAAUGCAUCAGAAUCAAAUGGCAGGUUCCUCUUUUAGUGUUCCACAUGUUUCCCGUUCAGUGUUGGCGUCACAGGGAACGGGAGCGGGAUGAGUUUACAGUAGCAGCCGCAUUCUGAGCGCCGGUGAGCGGCUGAGUUCUCGCUCGCUGCCCGAUGCGCGACUGAAGCGCUCUACUCAUUCAUCUGACAGACACGCUGCGGACACGCCCACCGCAUGCUAAUGACGGCUGGCGCGACCAACCAGCGUUGACGCAGAGCCAGGAGGCGUGUCUAGAAACAACUCAUUUGCAAGUUAAAUGUUUUUAGACGUUUAAAUAGUUUUGGACUGAGUUAUUUAUUUCUUGCAGUUAAGAAAACAUCAGCAUGGCAUGAAAAAUAAUAAUGCUGAUAAUACGUACUCUACUUUCUUAACAAUUCUAAAUGCAUAUAAUUAAUUCCGUUUUCUUCUACAUUUCUUCAUUUUUAAUUCUGUUCUAGCUUUUCUAUGCUUGUGCAUUACACUUAAUGCAAAUCAUUUGUGGUAUUAUAAGUCACUUUGCAUAAAAGUGGCUGCUAAAUUAUUAAACCUAAUGUAUAUGUAUUUGUAAUGUAAUUAAAUCUAAUGUAUAUGAUUAUGUACACAGAGUGUUCACUGAUAAAAAUCUGGAUUCAGCAUAGAAUAUGCUUCUUAUCAAGAACUUUUUUUAGUCUGUAAACAUUUCUUUAGAGAUUAAAAAAUAAUCAGAGACCCUGAUGAAUGUACUGUAGAUAUAAAUGUGCAUUAGAGCGUAUGAGUAAUUAGUGCAGAUGAUCAGCAUUGCUGUAACAAAACAAUAAUUUCCUGGUGGAAGGGAAGCAGAAGGAGACAGAUAUGCGUUUGCAGCCCUGCGGUUGAGAUUACAUUAAUCUCCCAUUUACAUAAAACUCAGCAAAGCUGAGAGUAAAUAUGACUCACUUUCUUUGUCUCUGUAACACUUGCUGAACAAUUACUAAACACUUGUUUAUUUUCUGCGUCUUUUAAACCCCUUUUUCCCUUUUUAACCUUUGCAUUUGCUUUCCAUGCAGAGCAUCACAUGAGUUGAUGAUGUGAGGAUUAUAGAAGGAAGAAUCUGAACAAUCAGCGUAACCUUCAUCAAAUCAACUUGUCUUAAUCUGAGCGUUUUUAACCUCCUCAACAGAUGCUGGCCGUGAUUGAGAACAUAUUGACCCUCUGACAUCAGCAGAGUCACUACAGACAAGCACAUGAGCUUUAGCUCUGAUUAUACACAAUUUCAUUUAAAUAAAACACUGCAUCACAUGAUGGUUCAAAUUGAUGCGUUUGUCUUAUGUUUUUUGUCUUGGGAGGCAGAUCUAAUCCAGAAAAUCACAGACUUCAAGGUGCAAGGACUUGAACCAGGUGUGGCCAAAGGUUUCAUUGGUGCUUUGUCGUCACUGCAAGAUUUCAGAUGCUGGCCAGUCAAGGCACCAAACACUAGCAUGUGUCCAGACCGCUCCACUGCAGAUAUAUACUGUGAAUGUAGCCACCCAGAUUCAGUCUGUAUGCAGAUCAGAUGGUGGAUCAGCACCUAGAGACGACCUCUGCAGCCCUGAAUGUCAGCGGAGACCAUGGCAGCUAGAUGAGCUCCAGAGACAGAUCCCCUGCGAAGCCCCCGUCAGCCAUCGGGACAAGACCACGAGAACCAGACGAGUCCUCUGCUCAAUCUGACCUGUGUUGCAGCCUAGAAUUAAACCACGUCAUGCUGGUUUCGUCUGGCCAGAGGAGAACUGCCCCUCGACUGAGCCUGGUUUCUCCCAAGGUUUUCUACUCAAUCUCUGUCACCGAUGGAGUUUUGGGUCCUUGCAGCUGCUUAUUUGGGGACGCUUGGCUGAUUGCACAGACAUUACUGGAAGAGAGCUGAACUGGAUGAUGCCAACACUGAAUCACCAAUGAACUGACUUUAACUGGAAAAAUGACUUGUUAAUGUCCUCUUGCAUUAUUGACAAACUAUUUUCCUGUUUGACUCUGUAAAGCUACUUUGACACGAUCAGUAUUGUAUAAAGCACUAUGUAAAUAAAGGUGACUUGAUUUGAUUUUAUAUACUGUAACAAUUUAUUUUUUUGACUUCUGCCUCAUUUUAAAGAUGUAAUU